UACAGAGGUCCCAAGCGUUGUUCGGAUUCACUGGGCGUAAAGGGUGCGUAGGCGGUUGGGCAAGUCUGAUGUGAAAUCUCACAGCUUAACUGUGAAACUGCAUUGGAUACUAUCCGGCUAGAGGAAUGGAGGGGAGACUGGAAUACUUGGUGUAGCAGUGAAAUUCGUAGAUAUCAAGUGGAACACCAGUGGCGAAGGCGAGUCUCUGGACAUUUCCUGACGCUGAGGCACGAAAGCCAGGGGAGCAAACGGG
rnacentral:rRNA from 1 species